rnacentral:rRNA from 1 species
CCUACGGGAGGCAGCAGUGAGGAAUAUUGGUCAAUGGGCGCGAGCCUGAACCAGCCAAGUCGCGUGAGGGAGGACGGCCCUACGGGUUGUAAACCUCUUUUGCCGGGGAGCAACGGGCGCCACGUGUGGCGUCGCUGCGAGUACCCGGAGAAAAAGCAUCGGCUAACUCCGUUCCAGCAGCCGCGGUAAUACGGAGGAUGCGAGCGUUAUCCGGAUUUCUUGGGUUUAAGGGGUGCGUAGGCGGAUCGUUAAGUCAGUGGUCAAAUUGAGGGGCUCAACCCCUUCCCGCCAUUGAAACUGGCGUUCUUGAGUGGAAGAGAAGUAUGCGGAAUGCGUGGUGUAGCGGUGAAAUGCAUAGAUAUCACGCAGAACCCCGAUUGCGAAGGCAGCAUGCCGGCUUCCGACUGACGCUGAAGCACGAAAGCGUGGGGAUCGAACAGGAUUAGAUACCCUUGUAGUC